UACGGAGGGUGCAAGCGUUAUCCGGAUUCACUGGGUUUAAAGGGUGCGUAGGUGGGCUGGUAAGUCAGUGGUGAAAUCUCCAGGCUUAACUUGGAAACUGCCAUUGAUACUAUCAGUCUUGAAUACCGUGGAGGUCAGCGGAAUAUGUCAUGUAGCGGUGAAAUGCUUAGAUAUGACAUAGAACACCAAUUGCGAAGGCAGCUGGCUAGACGAAUAUUGACACUGAUGCACGAAAGCGUGGGGAUCAAACAGG
rnacentral:rRNA from 1 species